GCAGCCGGAGCCGGUGAUUCCAGUGAAGGACGCCACUUCUGACCUGGCCAUCAUUGCUCGGAAAGGCAGCCAAACAGUGCGGAAGCAUAGGGAGCAGAAGGAGCGCAAGAAGGCUCAGCACAAACACUGGGAACUGGCUGGGACCAAACUGGGAGAUAUAAUGGGCGUCAAGAAGGAGGAAGAGCCAGAUAAAGCUGUGACGGAGGAUGGGAAGGUGGACUACAGGACAGAGCAGAAGUUUGCAGAUCACAUGAAGAGAAAGAGCGAAGCAAGCAGUGAAUUUGCAAAGAAGAAGUCCAUCCUGGAGCAGAGGCAGUACCUGCCCAUCUUCGCAGUGCAGCAGGAGCUGCUCACUAUUAUCAGAGACAACAGCAUCGUGAUCGUGGUUGGGGAGACGGGGAGUGGUAAGACCACUCAGCUGACACAGUACCUGCAUGAAGAUGGUUACACGGACUAUGGGAUGAUUGGGUGUACCCAGCCCCGGCGUGUAGCUGCCAUGUCAGUGGCCAAGAGAGUCAGUGAAGAGAUGGGGGGAAACCUUGGCGAGGAGGUGAGUGGGCAUGGGGGCUGAGCCGUGUAGUUAUUCCCUAGUAGCUUCCACCCAUUUUUCUAAAGGGUGUGAUCUGCUAAGACUCGGACCCCAGUACGGGGUGUGCUGGUGGUGAGCCAGUGGCCAGGGCAU
rnacentral:sRNA from 1 species